rnacentral:rRNA from 1 species
GACGAACGCUGGCGGCGUGCUUAACACAUGCAAGUCGAACGGAGGAUGCAGAGAAGCUUGCUUUUUUGCAAACUUAGUGGCGGACGGGUGAGUAACGCGUGGAUAACCUGCCUGUAAGACUGGGAUAACACCGGGAAACCGGUGCUAAUACCGGGCGUGCUGUAGAGAGGGCAUCCUUUUUACAGGGAAGGACGAAAGUUCGCUUACAGAUGGAUUCGCGUCCCAUUAGCUAGCUGGUAGGGUAACGGUCUACCAGGGCGACGAUGGGUAGCCGGCCUGAGAGGGUGGCCGGCCACACUGGGACUGAGACACGGCCCAGACUCCUACGGGAGGCAGCAGUGGGGAAUAUUGCGCAAUGGGCGAAAGCCUGACGCAGCGACGCCGCGUGGGUGACGAAGGCCUUCGGGUCGUAAAACCCUGUUGCAGGGGACGAAGGAAGUGACGGUACCCUGCCAGAAAGCCCCGGCUAACUACGUGCCAGCAGCCGCGGUAAAACGUAGGGGGCAAGCGUUGUCCGGAAUUACUGGGCGCAAAGAGCUCGUANGCGGUAUCUCAAGUCAGCUGUGAAACCGACGG